rnacentral:lncRNA from 1 species
UCUCGUGUUUUGCUUUUCCGCGUGUUAUCUGCAUUCCGGUGGCCAGAAUUUCGCGCCUGCCUAGUUCACUCUUUUUUUAGUGUGUAAUGUUGGCAGUGAACGCGUUCACUCAAAAGUGAGGUGUACAGCAACGCUGAAUAACCGUCGUCAGCAGCGCUAUUUGUGCGACCUUUGUGACCUAGGAGCGAUGCGUGCGGCCACGAACGGUGAACACUGCUCUGAACACGAAGAAACGAUGUUUAGCGCUAGGAUGCAAGGUUUUCCGCGCCCACGCUAUGAAGCCGGUCAUUGAAGCCCACGCGAAGAACAAGCCUGCAGACGCAUUUGUUCGUUCCAUCACAGCAUCAUAAGGUGAGGCCUAAUGCAGAUAAUUUUCCGCGUCGUCGCGUCGGUAGCUGGAAAACAAAUUCGCAAGUUAUAAGUCAUGACCCAAGUACAGCAUCGUAAGAGUUCCAUGUAAGAUCAUUUAAACUUUGAUGUUGUAGCGAGGCAACGACCGAGUUAUUUUGUCAGCACUUCAAGGGGACAGUGUAUAGCAGAUGCCUAUGCAAAAAUAUCGUGUUAAAUUAUAAAACAUGUUGUCCAA